UCAGACAUGGUGUUGUGGUGACACGGCCUCUUCAAAUAUUGUUUGUGAGUUCAAGUUGUAUUCGGGGCAGUCCGGGGUUCGAUUCCCUGUGUCUGAA